GUUCCUCGUGAUCGCGCUUAAGGUUUUAUAAGAAACGCGAAGAUCGAGGUUGGUUGUUUAACUUACUGAGAUUUCAAGUAAAUCUCACCCUUAUGGAGCUACUACCAUUCCCCCUAGAAUGGUAGAAGUUAUGUCAAGAUCAACAUAUAGCAAGCACGAGGAACCCCUGGCUUCAAAUGUUUACGAAUGAGCCCAAUCUUGAGAAGAGCCUGGACUUAAUCUGUGUUUAUAGCAAUGGCUCUAUACACCAUAGAGCGGAUGUGAGAGUUUAUUUGACUAUGUAGCAUCUAUAUUAAAGAGAUUUCAUCUCCCACUUUAUGUUGAACUUAUGUAGAUCUCUUAGGUGAGGAAGUAUCUAUUUAUGGUUUUUUAAUCAUUGGGAUGUUUAGUUCAUUCUGGCAUCAAAUAUUUUGGUCAUCCUUA